CCAAAUGAGGUAUUGAGUCAGUUUCUAGUUAUGGCGCCCAUUACCGGGCGGGGUAUGAGGACGAUCAUUUGAUUACAAAAAAGUUUUUGUAUUCAUGUGUAAUGAGAAUCCUUAUAGAACCUUAGUGACACCAGUAGGGAAAGGUAAGAUAUUAUAGUAGUGAUAGACUUGGUAAGAAACUUGACUUGGGAAAGAUGUAAAGAAUCAAACAUUAUACGUCUUUUGAUAUGUAUAUUAUUAGAUUACUCUUUUAGUUUUUAUCUUAAUGUAUGACAUUUGAGAAGUUACAGGUUAAUUGAGAAAAUACUAAU
rnacentral:lncRNA from 1 species